rnacentral:rRNA from 1 species
AGAGUUUGAUCCUGGCUCAGAGCGAACGCUGGCGGCGUGCUUAACACAUGCAAGUCGAACGCGCAGUUUUCUGUAGUAAUACAGGGAGCCGGCGCGUGGCGAACGGGUGCGUAACACGUGGAUAACCUUCCUUCAGGUGGGGAAUAACCCCGCGAAAGCGGGGCUAAUACCGCAUAACAUGACGAUGGCACAUGCUGUUGUCUUCAAAGCCGCAAGGCGCCAGAAGAGGGAUCCGCGGCCGAUUAGCUUGUUGGCGAGGUAAUGGCUCACCAAGGCAUUGAUCGGUAGCCGGACUGAGAGGUUGGCCGGCCAUACUGGAACUGAGACACGGUCCAGACUCCUACGGGAGGCAGCAGUGGGGAAUCUUGCGCAAUGGACGAAAGUCUGACGCAGCAACGCCGCGUGGGGGAUGAAGCUUCUCGGAGUGUAAACCCCUUUCGACCCGGACGGAUGCCCGCAAGGGUUUGACGGUACGGGUAUAAGAAGCCCCGGCUAACUACGUGCCAGCAGCCGCGGUAAAACGUAGGGGGCCAGCGUUGCUCGGAAUUACUGGGCGUAAAGGGUCCGUAGGCGGUGCGGCAAGUCGGAAGUGAAAUCUCUGGGCUUAACCCAGAAGCUGCUUCCGAAACUGCCGUGCUAGAGUGCGAGAGAGGCGAGUGGAAUUGCGGGUGUAGCGGUGAAAUGCGUAGAUAUCCGCAGGAACAUCCGAGGCGAAAGCGGCUCGCUGGAUCGUAACUGACGCUGAGGGACGAAAGCUAGGGGAGCAAACAGGGUUAGAUACCCUGGUAGUCCUAGCCCUAAACCAUCAGGACUUGGGGUUUGCCCUGUACGGGGC